CGGGACGGGGUGGAGUAAUGUCUGGGAAACUGCCUGAUGGAGGGGGAUAACUACUGAAACGGUAGCUAAUACCGCAUAACGUCGCAAGACCAAAGAGGGGGACCUUCGGGCCUCUUGCCAUCGGAUGUGCCCAGAUGGGAUUAGCUAGUAGGUGGGGUAACGGCUCACCUAGGCGACGAUCCCUAGCUGGUCUGAGAGGAUGACCAGCCACACUGGAACUGAGACACGGUCCAG
rnacentral:rRNA from 1 species